rnacentral:rRNA from 1 species
UACGUAGGGUGCGAGCGUUGUCCGGAAUUAUUGGGCGUAAAGAGCUCGUAGGCGGUCUGUCGCGUCGAUCGUGAAAACUUGGGGCUUAACCCUGAGCUUGCGGUCGAUACGGGCAUGACUGGAGUUCGGCAGGGGAGACUGGAAUUCCUGGUGUAGCGGUGAAAUGCGCAGAUAUCAGGAGGAACACCGGUGGCGAAGGCGGGUCUCUGGGCCGAUACUGACACUGAGGAGCGAAAGCGUGGGUAGCAAACAGG